AGCGUAGGCGGAUUUUUAAGUGAGAUGUGAAAUACCCGGGCUUAACUUGGGUGCUGCAUUUCAAACUGGAAGUCUAGAGUGCAGGAGAGGAGAAGGGAAUUCCUAGUGUAGCGGUGAAAUGCGUAGAGAUUAGGAAGAACACCAGUGGCGAAGGCGCUUCUCUGGACUGUAACUGACGCUGAGGCUCGAAAGCGUGGGGAGCAAACAGGAUUAGAUACCCCUGUA
rnacentral:rRNA from 1 species